ensembl:lncRNA
CCAGCCCAUUCCAUAUGGAAGGACGCUUCUUCAAACCCAACCACCAACUCAAACCACACAUCGAUCAUCGCUGUUCCUCGGUCAGUUUUGCUGCUUUGCAUCCUGCUUUUAACUAACGUUUGCUGUGCAAAUCCAUGCAAAACUGACUGAGCAGUGACUUGACCUCCAGCCGUGAUGAACCGUUUUGGUAAAGUCUUUCAGGGCCAGGAUGAUGAUGAUGAUACAUGGAUUUAAUGUGGCACUUUUCAGUGACUCAGACUAUUCAAAUGCUGUUUUCUAGAACUAUUCUGUAGUUGUCUCUGUUCUGCAUCACUUUUCAAAUGACUCAAAAGAUGCUUGACUGGUGGUAUUAUCUGUUUUAAGUAUAAGACCCAAUCAGGUUAUAUUGUAACUAGAAGUCAGUCCCGGGCAGGUUGAGUUGUAACUAGAAGUCAGUCCCGGUCAGGUUGAGUUGUAACUAGAAGUCAGUCCCGGUCAGGUUGAGUUGUAACUAGAAGUCAGUCCCGGUCAGGUUGGGUUGUAGCUGUAGAAGUCAGUCCCGGUCUGGUUGGGUAAUAGAAGUCAGUCCCGGUCUGGUUGGGUUGUAGAAGUCAGUCCCGGUCUGGUUGGGUUGUAGAAGUCAGUCCCGGUCUGGUUGGGUUGUAGAAGUCAGUCCCGGUCCGGGUUGGGUUGUAGAAGUCAGUCCCGGUCUGGUUGGGUUGUAGAAGUCAAAGUCAGUCCCGGUCCGGUUGUAACUGUAGAAGUCAGUCCCUGUCCUGGUCAGGUUGGGAGGGGUGUCAGUGCUGUUACUCUGAAGGUAUUGCACUUGUCCCGGCCUGUUUAGGAUUGAGGAGAUGGUGCUGCUACUCUUUGAACCUGCUAAAGCAGUAAUUGUUUAAAAUGAAUGAAUGAAACAUAUAUUUACCAAAAAUGAGACUUGUAUGUUUUCUGUCAUGAUUCUGUUUUUCUAGAUUUGUUUUUAAUGAAUGAAGAGGUAGUUUUCUAAGUUGUAGAUUGAUUGUCGGAGCUUAAAUGUGUCCAUAUGGGGAGUAAUUGUUUCAUGCUGUGGUUUUGUCUCAAAUAAAGUUUCCAUGUAAAUUAGCUUCCCGUUUCAAAGUUUCCAUUGGGCUUUGAUUUGAAAUGUGUAGCCAGCCUGCUUCUCCAGAUGUGAUUGGGUGUAAGGAUGCUUCUCCAGAUGUGAUUGGAUGUAGGGGUGGUGGGAUGUUCAGAUAUAUUAUCUCCACCCUGCUUCUCGAGAUGUGAUUGGAUGUAAGGAUGCUUCUCGAGAUGUGAUUGGAUGUAAGGAUGCUUCUCGAGAUGUGAUUGGGUGUAAGGAUGCUUCUCGAGAUGUGAUUGGGUGUAAGGAUGCUUCUCGAGAUGUGAUUGGGUGUAAGGAUGCUUCUCGAGAUGUGAUUGGGUGUAAGGAUGCUUCUCGAGAUGUGAUUGGAUGUAAGGCUGCUUCUCGAGAUGUGAUUGGAUGUAAGGCUGCUUCUCGAGAUGUGAUUGAUAAGGCUGCUUCUCGAGAUGUGAUUGGAUGUAAGGAUGCUUCUCGAGAUGUGAUUGGAUGUAAGGAUGCUUCUCCAGAUGUGAUUGGGUGUAAGGAUGCUUCUCCAGAUGUGAUUGGAUGUAAGGAUGCUUCUCGAGAUGUGAUUGGAUGUAAGGAUGCUUCUCGAGAUGUGAUUGGAUGUAAGGAUGCUUCUCGAGAUGUGAUUGGAUGUUCAGAUAUAUUUUAUCUCCAAUCUCCAAAUGCCUUUAAUCUUCGAAUGGGAGAUACUGUGACGGACAGUGUCACACAUCAUAACAUGAGUCAUGUGGUCUUUGGGAAAAGGACCUUUCUGACAACUGGAGCACAGGAGGGUUUUGAAAUCAGAUUUCAAGGCCGACAAAAGAGGUGGCAGGUAGCCUAGUGGUUAGAGUGUAGAGGAGGCAGGUAGCCUAGUGGUUAGAGUGUAGAGGAG